AGGGAUUGUACAUAUCCUGUGAGAUACGGUACUCAGCCUGCUGACAGCUGGGUGUAGGAAGGGUCAGCUCAACCUGCCAAACACGACGGAGAUUGUCGGGACGGAGAUAUUUAUAUUCUCACAAACCAUCUCAAGGUUGAAGCACCGGUGAGUUAAAGCAAACUUCGUUGUUUUUUAUCUAAAAUUAUUCAUGUAUAAAUUACUAUAUAAACCUAGACGAAAGCGAUAAUAAUAAACUAAUUAAUCUCAUCACAACCCAAUCCUUCUAUUUUUGCAUCCUGCAAAGAUAUAGGGAUUUUAAAAUUAAAACUUU